UUCCGGUUGAUCCUGCCGGAGGCCACUGCUAUGGGGUCCGACUAAGCCAUGCGAGUCAUGGGGCGCCUUGCGCGCACCGGCGGACGGCUCAGUAACACGUCGGUAACCUACCCUCGGGAGGGGGAUAACCCCGGGAAACUGGGGCUAAUCCCCCAUAGGCCUGAGGUACUGGAAGGUCCUCGGGCCGAAAGGGGCUCUGCCCGCCCGAGGAUGGGCCGGCGGCCGAUUAGGUAGUUGGUGGGGUAACGGCCCACCAAGCCGAAGAUCGGUACGGGCCAUGAGAGUGGGAGCCCGGAGAUGGACACUGAGACACGGGUCCAGGCCCUACGGGGCGCAGCAGGCGCGAAACCUCCGCAAUGCGGGCAACCGCGACGGGGGGACCCCCAGUGCCGUGGCAUCGCCACGGCUUUUCCGGAGUGUAAAAAGCUCCGGGAAUAAGGGCUGGGCAAGGCCGGUGGCAGCCGCCGCGGUAAUACCGGCGGCCCGAGUGGUGGCCGCUAUUAUUGGGCCUAAAGCGUCCGUAGCCGGGCCCGUAAGUCCCUGGCGAAAUCCCACGGCUCAACCGUGGGGCUUGCUGGGGAUACUGCGGGCCUUGGGACCGGGAGAGGCCGGGGGUACCCCUGGGGUAGGGGUGAAAUCCUAUAAUCCCAGGGGGACCGCCAGUGGCGAAGGCGCCCGGCUGGAACGGGUCCGACGGUGAGGGACGAAGGCCAGGGGAGCGAACCGGAUUAGAUACCCGGGUAGUCCUGGCUGUAAAGGAUGCGGGCUAGGUGUCGGGCGAGCUUCGAGCUCGCCCGGUGCCGAAGGGAAGCCGUUAAGCCCGCCGCCUGGGGAGUACGGCCGCAAGGCUGAAACUUAAAGGAAUUGGCGGGGGAGCACUACAAGGGGUGGAGCGUGCGGUUUAAUUGGAGUCAACGCCGGG
rnacentral:rRNA from 1 species